UACGAAGGGGGGCUAGCGUUGCUCGGAAUCACUGGGCGUAAAGGGUGCGUAGGCGGGUCUUUUAAGUCAGAGGUGAAAUCCUGGAGCUCAACUCCAGAACUGCCUUUGAUACUGAGGAUCUUGAGUUCGGGAGAGGUGAGUGGAACUGCGAGUGUAGAGGUGAAAUUCGUAGAUAUUCGCAAGAACACCAGUGGCGAAGGCGGCUCACUGGCCCGAUACUGACGCUGAGGCACGAAAGCGUGGGGAGCAAACAGGG
rnacentral:rRNA from 1 species